GUCCACGCCGUAAACGUUGGGCACUAGGUGUGGGACUCUAUCGACGGGUUCCGUGCCGUAGCUAACGCAUUAAGUGCCCCGCCUGGGGAGUACGGCCGCAAGGCUAAAACUCAAAGGAAUUGACGGGGCCCGCACAAGCGGCGGAGCAUGUGGCUUAAUUCGAUGCAACGCGAAGAACCUUACCUGGGUUGAACUAUGCAGGAAAAGCCGUAGAGAUACGGUGUCCUUCGGGGCCUGUGAUAGGUGGUGCAUGGCUGUCGU
rnacentral:rRNA from 1 species